rnacentral:rRNA from 1 species
UACCUGCAGCCCAAGUGGUGAUCGCUAUUAUUGGGCCUAAAACGUCCGUAGCCGGUUCUAUAAAUGCCUGGGUAAAUCGUACGGCUUAACCGUACGAAUUCCGGGUAGACUGUUCAACUUGGGACCGGGAUAGGCUAGAGGUACUCCUGGGGUAGAGGUGAAAUUCUGUAAUCCUAGGGGGACCACCAGUGGCGAAGGCGUCUAGCUAGAACGGGUCUGACGGUGAGGGACGAAGCCUUGGGGAGCAAACGGGAUUAGAUACCCCGGUAGUCCAGGGUGUAAACGCCGCUCGCUUGAUGUUAGUCGGGCUCCGAGCCCAACUAGUGUCGGAGAGAAGUUGUUAAGCGAGCUGCCUGGGAAGUACGGUCGCAAGACUGAAACUUAAAGGAAUUGGCGGGAGCACCGCAACGGGUGGAGCGUGCGGUUU